CUCUUCCCGCCUCCUCCCGGCUCUCCCUUCCAGCCUCUGCUCGUCUUUCCAAAGACUCUCGAGUCUCCUCCACCUUCCGUUCCACCCAGCGAGCGUGGACGAGGCGCCCUCCUCGCCCUGCUAGACUGGCUCACAGGACGGGGGGAGGGUGGCCCCUGCCCUGAGCUACAGGCAGAAGAUGCCCCCCGAGCCUGGCACCCUCGGCCUGGCAGGAGCUGCCUCUGCGCCCCGGCUUCCGCCAAGUGCCCGCCGGCCUCUCGGGGCCUCUGCCGGGGGACAGGAGCGGCCCAGCGCCGGAAGCCCUUUCAGCCCUUCGGGUAGCGCCGGUGAACCAGGAAGAGGCCCCGGCCGGCAUUUCCCUCCCCGAGUCAGUGGGCCAAGAACGGGCUGAGCAGCCCGAAGGAAGGCCCCGUUGGCUGAGGGGCUCCAUCUCUGGCCUCCUCUGCGUCCGCAGCUCGGCCGCCCCUGCCCAGCCCCUGAGGGGGAGCUCGAACCCCGGACGUGGAGACGGAGCUCGUUCUGAGAAGCGACAGCCAGAGCAGGGCCGGCGACCCGGGCGACGCAGGGGCUCACGGGCUCUGCCCAGGGGUGACGCCGGAGGCCGGAAGGCCCAGAGGGGCCCUCGAGCUCCCGGCACUCUGUGGCCGCCUCACGCCUCUUGUCCACUAGCCGCUGCCGAUUUCAGGCACUUGUUGAAAACUCCGUCGGGCCCGGCCAGGGCCAGCCUCCCCCUCGGCCUCCUUCGGACGCGGAUUUGGCCCCUCCUGGGCCAGCCUCUAACUCGAGUCCACCCGCCAGCCAGGCAGCCGGGAGGAGGCACGAGGUUAGGCACCAGGGACCCACAGGAAGGCCAGAGCCGCCUCCUGGCCUCAGCCAGCUCCCAGGGAAGGCGCAGACCAUCUGCUGAGCACCCGCUGCCCAGAGCAGGCGCUUUGUGCUCCGGCCUGUUGCUAUAGCCCAUAUUCCCUCCCCGGAGCCCACGAGCAGCCAAGAAGGAGUCCUGCGGCAGAGGAG
rnacentral:lncRNA from 1 species